rnacentral:lncRNA from 1 species
CAUAUUUACAAUUGACUUCCUCGCUAGAGAAAAUGACAGAAUUAGAGUCGAGUAAGCUGCUUUAACUUAUUUGUGUUAUUAUUAUUAUUUAUGUUUAUUUUUAUUUUUUGUGUUUGAUGUCUCCAGUUUCCUUAUCUUCUUGAGCUCUAUUAUUUAAUUGCUAGUUCAACUAGCAUCAUUGAUAUUAAGCUUUGAAUGUAACUCUUGAAGCAACGAAGAAUAUAUUACUUUUUGUGGUUCCUUUACACUGUUGGGAACUGUAGUUUUUCUUGACUGUUAGUGCAUGUAUGUACAAUGUCUUGGUAUUUUUAUUUUUAUUUUAAUACCAAAACUGUUUGCCACCCAACUUAUAGCAUUGUUUUAUUUAGUCAUCAAACUUUUUUUUCUUUUGCUUUAAGUUUGUCAUUGAACUUUCAUUUUUGAUUGGCGAACAGAUAACAUAAAGCUUAAUCGAGCGGGUCUGGGAAUUGUGCAGGAGGAGCUAACUGAGGAGAAUUUUGAAAAUUGGAAAAAUUGCUUGAAAAAUUAUUUUGUUGGGAAUGGACUUUGGGGUGUUGUCUCUGGUAAGGAGACUAAACCAGAUAAGAAAAACAAACAAGAGCUUGAAAAAUGGAAGAAAAAAAAUGCUUUGGCUCUGCAUGCAAUUCAACUUUCAUGUAGAUCGGCAAUGUACUCUGAGUUUAAAGGACACAUUUCUGCUCACGAUGUAUGGGUUCAUUUGACUCAUGAGAGAGAUUGGGACGACGACGAAGAAAGUUAUGACAAAGACAAUGGUAAUGUAUCAAUCCUUGUGAUGCAUUAGUUCGUCUAAAAUCUCAUAUUGUUAUAAGAAACAUGAACUUGCACUAUUGGUUCUCAUUCAUUAAAAAUGAGCGAGUUAUCAACCUUCUAUUGCAGUUGCACAAUUAGUUCAGAGAAACCAUUCAAAUCUUUGUUAAAUUAUCAUGCAAACCUGGGUAGUUAUCUAUAAAUUUAAGUGAGAUAUUCCUUCACAAGAACAAUGUGGUGGUGCCAAUCUUCCCUUUUUUUUUUUAUAUGAACUCUGUAUUCGAUACAACCACCUUACAUACAGGUCGACUUCAUUAUUUGCAGGGUCGAGCGAGAACCUUGAAUAUGGGCCAUUGUACAAGGCAAUUAAAGAAGGUAACUGGCAUGCUACUAAUGAAUUCUUUCAGCGGAACGAACUGUCAUUUAAUGCAAGAGUUUCAGCACACAAAGAGACAGCUCUGCACAUUGCAACUUUGUCUGGACAAACUGAAAUUGCAGAAAAACUUGUAAAAUCGAUGGAGCCACAAGACUUAGAACUGACAAAUGGUUAUGGAGCUACUGCCUUAUCUCUUGCAGCAAUCUGUGGCAAGAACAAACUGGCAGAAAAAAUGAUAAGUAAGAACAAAAAAUUAGUUACAAUAGUAACUAAAGGUCAUGAAGAUGGGCGUCUUCCUGUUAUUGUAGCUGCAUCGUAUGGACAAGAAAAAAUGGUUCGUUAUUUAUACAAAGUGACACCAAAAGAUGAGCUGAGUCCCGAAAAGGGUGAAAACGGAGUCACACUACUCAAUCGCCUUAUUACUGCUGAAAUUUACGGUAUGUGAAUGUAUAAUGUGUGAAGUCUAAUCACACUCUUGGAUAAUUCCGUUAAUUGCAGAUAAACCUAAUA